rnacentral:rRNA from 1 species
UACGUAGGAUGCAAGCGUUGUCCGGAAUUAUUAGGCGUAAAGAGCUCGUAGGCGGUUUAUCGCGUCGGCUGUGAAAACCUAAAACUCAACUCCGGGCCUGCAGCCGAUACAGGCAGACUAGAAUUCAGUAGAGGAGACUGGAAUUCCUGGUGUAGCGAUGAAAUGCGCAGAUAUCAAAAGGAACACCAAUGGCGAAAACGGGUCUCUGGACCGAUAUUGACGCUGAGAAGCGAAAGCGUGGGGAGCGAACAGG